rnacentral:lncRNA from 1 species
GUAAAUGAUCAAUUCGUUAAUUGGGCUAGAAGGUAUUAUGAGAGUCUUUGUUGGAUUGUUAUAAAGUUAUAUGGUCACUUUUUAUGGGAUAAGUUUUGAAAGAUAAAUGAAUAGUUUUUUGGAUGGAGGGAGUACACGGCUAUUAGUGCUCCUCCGUAGCUUUUCUUGCCCCAUUUUGGCGCCAGCCGCAGGUAAGCGUGGCGAUUUGUGGAUGACAAAUACUACUUCAAACACUAAACCAGUGAGAUACCGAUGCAGAAAAAGUCGACCCACUAAAAAUUAUAUAUUUUCACACUGUGCUACAAACAAACGAGCUAGUGCGAUGUGAUGGCAAUAAACGGUCAAAAUUUAGAGCUAUAAUUUUGAUUCUUUGGCUCUUUGCUACUCCUAUGGUGCGUUUGGCAGAGCUCCCAGAGUUGAUAUUCUGCUGAAUCCAAUAGGAGCACUGCCAAACAGUUUUUUAGAGAUAAG